rnacentral:lncRNA from 1 species
UGGAGUUGAGGUAGUGGUGGUGAUGAAGGUGGAGUUGGUGAUUGUGGUAGUGGUGGUGGUGGUGGUGGUGGGGAUGACGAUUGUGGAGGUGGUGGUAGUGGCAGCAUGGUGGUGGUUGUGGUGUUGGUUGUGAAGGUGGUAGUGGAUGUGGAGGUUUUGGAGGAGGAGGAGGAGGUGGUGGUGGUGGGGGAGGUGGUGGAGGUGGAGGUGGAGGUGAAGGUGGUGGAUGAGGUAGUGGUGGCGGAGUAUGAGGAGGAGAAGGAUGUGGUGGCGGUGGUUGUGGAGGUAGUGAAUGUGUGGUGCAAGUGGUGAAGUUGGAUGUGAAAGUGGAGGUGGUGUCAUUUUUUAAAAUGAAUGAUGGUAUUUUGGGAAAUUAAAAAAAUUGUUUAAAAGUUCAUCUCUGCUUCUUUUGAAAGCAGCUUUGAAAAGCAACCCACAGCCUACUUUUAAAAGCUGCUGUCAAAAGGUCACUGCUUUUAAAAUAAUCGGGAUAUUUUAUUUUCCCAAACCCCUUAAACUGCUUAACUUUAAAGUAAAACAGGUUUUUGGC